rnacentral:rRNA from 1 species
UACGUAGGGGGCAAGCGUUGUCCGGAUUUAUUGGGCGUAAAGAGCUCGUAGGCGGCUUGUCGCGUCGUUCGUGAAAACCCACAGCUCAACUGUGGGCUUGCGGUCGAUACGGGCAGGCUCGAGUUCGGUAGGGGAGACUGGAAUUCCUGGUGUAGCGGUGAAAUGCGCAGAUAUCAGGAGGAACACCGGUGGCGAAGGCGGGUCUCUGGGCAAUAACUGACGCUGAGGAGCGAAAGCGUGGGGAGCGAACAGG